GACGAACGCUGGCGGCGUGCUUAACACAUGCAAGUCGAACGGAAAGGCCCUGCUUUUGUGGGGUGCUCGAGUGGCGAACGGGUGAGUAACACGUGAGUAACCUGCCCUUGACUUUGGGAUAACUUCAGGAAACUGGGGCUAAUACCGGAUAGGAGCUCCUGCUGCAUGGUGGGGGUUGGAAAGUUUCGGCGGUUGGGGAUGGACUCGCGGCUUAUCAGCUUGUUGGUGGGGUAGUGGCUUACCAAGGCUUUGACGGGUAGCCGGCCUGAGAGGGUGACCGGCCACAUUGGGACUGAGAUACGGCCCAGACUCCUACGGGAGGCAGCAGUGGGGAAUAUUGCACAAUGGGCGGAAGCCUGAUGCAGCAACGCCGCGUGCGGGAUGACGGCCUUCGGGUUGUAAACCGCUUUCGCCUGUGACGAAGCGUGAGUGACGGUAAUGGGUAAAGAAGCACCGGCUAACUACGUGCCAGCAGCCGCGGUGAUACGUAGGGUGCGAGCGUUGUCCGGAUUUAUUGGGCGUAAAGGGCUCGUAGGUGGUUGAUCGCGUCGGCAGUGUAAUCUUGGGGCUUAACCCUGAGCGUGCUUUCGAUACGGGUUGACUUGAGGAAGGUAGGGGAGAAUGGAAUUCCUGGUGGAGCGGUGGAAUGCGCAGAUAUCAGGAGGAACACCAGUGGCGAAGGCGGUUCUCUGGGCCUUUCCUGACCCUGAAGAACGAAAGCGUGGGGAGCGAACAGGCUUAGAUACCCUGGUAGUCCACUCUGUAAACGGUGGGUACUAGGUGUGGGGUCCAUUCCACGGGUUCCGUGCCGUAGCUAACGCUUUAAGUACCCCGCCUGGGGAGUACGGCCGCAAGGCUAAAACUCAAAGGAAUUGACGGGGCCCCGCACAAGCGGCGGAGCAUGCGGAUUAAUUCGAUGCAACGCGUAGAACCUUACCUGGGUUUGACAUGGAUCGGGAGUGCUCAGAGAUGGGUGUGCCUCUUUUGGGGUCGGUUCACAGGUGGUGCAUGGCUGUCGUCAGCUCGUGUCGUGAGAUGUUGGGUUAAGUCCCGCAACGAGCGCAACCCUUGUUCACUGUUGCCAGCACGUUAUGGUGGGGACUCAGUGGAGACCGCCGGGGUCAACUCGGAGGAAGGUGGGGAUGACGUCAAGUCAUCAUGCCCCUUAUGUCCAGGGCUUCACGCAUGCUACAAUGGCUGGUACAGAGAGUGGCGAGCCUGUGAGGGUGAGCGAAUCUCGGAAAGCCGGUCUCAGUUCGGAUUGGGGUCUGCAACUCGACCUCAUGAAGUCGGAGUCGCUAGUAAUCGCAGAUCAGCAACGCUGCGGUGAAUACGUUCCCGGG
rnacentral:rRNA from 1 species